GAUGAACGCUGGCGGCGUGCCUAAUACAUGCAAGUCGAGCGAACGGACGAGAAGCUUGCUUCUCUGCUGUUAGCGGCGGACGGGUGAGUAACACGUGGAUAACCUACCUAUAAGACUGGGAUAACUUCGGGAAACCGGAGCUAAUACCGGAUAAUAUUUUGAACCGCAUGGUUCAAAAGUGAAAGACGGUCUUGCUGUCACUUAUAGAUGGAUCCGCGCUGCAUUAGCUAGUUGGUAAGGUAACGGCUUACCAAGGCAACGAUGCAUAGCCGACCUGAGAGGGUGAUCGGCCACACUGGAACUGAGACACGGUCCAGACUCCUACGGGAGGCAGCAGUAGGGAAUCUUCCGCAAUGGGCGAAAGCCUGACGGAGCAACGCCGCGUGAGUGAUGAAGGUCUUCGGAUCGUAAAACUCUGUUAUUAGGGAAGAACAUAUGUGUAAGUAACUGUGCACAUCUUGACGGUACCUAAUCAGAAAGCAACGGCUAACUACGUG
rnacentral:rRNA from 1 species